rnacentral:piRNA from 1 species
UAAGUGAAAACUCUGUAACGCCAGUUGC